AAACCGCAGGCCACAGACCGUCGAAGAUUAACCAGCGAAAAAAACGGCAUUGGUCUUGAACGAGUACGGGCUCGCCUCCUCUCCCUCUCGCUCAAGUCCUCGCCGUCGCCACCACCACCCACGCCGGCAGCUUCCGGCGAGCUCCGGCGCCCCGCAGCACACCCCCGAACUCCCCACGGUCCGCUCCUCCCUACCCUCCGGCCAGAUUCUCCGCUCCCGGUCUCUACCGCCCGCUCGAAACGCCACCCCCAUGGCUAGGGUUUCGGGCAGGGCUUCACCGGCGCGUCUCCGGCGGCCCAGAUGCAGAUGGAGCACGCCAUGGGAGUUCCCCAUCCACCAUGGUCGCCGCCGUCAAGGGCUUCUUCACGGAGAUGUGGAGGACGCCAUGGACCUGCAGCUCCUCAAGGUUCUAUCUUGUCCACAUCCCCUCCCCUCCCCUCCCCUUCCCGUCCCUUCCUCAUCUCGUUUCCUUCCCUUCCCACGCAGGUCAACAGGGAGGAACCCUAGCCAGCAGCACCUCCUCGGAUGACGCCUCUGCUACACCAAGAUAGAGAGAUAUAUGAUAUCUACAUGGCUGCUAUGCUACUUUUUUUGUGUGAUGAAUCAUUAUGAGUUUCGAAGAAACUUCCAAUGUUACCUCCGCCAAGUUUGCCGGCGAAAGAAGCACAUCCAUCCAUUGAGCCGUUCUAUGUCGCCUGUGGUGGCUACACCAGAGGUAUGUAUCCCCUUGAAAGCUAAUCAGUUGAUAAAAAUAGAAGCCCCUACUUCAGUUUAUUGUUUCUGAAUUGGUGCUACUUCUGAUGGCUCUUGUUUCAGUUUAUUGUUUCUGAAUUUAUACUCUGAAUUCAGUAGAUAGAAGCCCCUGAAAUUUGAGCCAUCUAUGUUAUGUCACAUCCAACAAAUAAAAUCAUAUUUUUUGUGUGUUAUGCACCAAGAUGGCUUAGCAUAUGAUGUUUCCUAUGACAAUUUAUACUUUGUUUUGUGGAACAAUUCAUACAAGGGUGCACAAUAUGGCAAACGUAUAUACGCAAUUCUUGUAAUUCUAAAAUAAUAUGUUGCCCAAAAUGAACAAUUUAUGUAGUUGCAAAUUUUACUGGAGCGAUUUCGACCGAAGGAAGUGAUGUUCACAAUCGUAGUUUUAUGUUUUGAUCUAUUUUUCCAUUUUUUUUUACAAGAGCGAACUUCUACAUGAUGCAAGCUAACUCCCAGAGCUUAUACACACUAACUGCUACUGACUCCCAAAGUGAACACAUUUUAUUGGAUAACCGCUGGACAUUUAGUGGCUAACUGAACAAAAUCGAUAAUGUGUAAAUUACUGAAACAAAAAGUGGACUGAGCACACAACGUUGUACUGGUGUGGUUUUUCAGUCAGCUAGCUUCUACAGUCAUCCAAGAGUAACACUAACUGCUGGAGCCAGGGUAGAAAGAUAAUGAAUGAAUUCUGAUUUACAGAAUGAUCUUGUUAAAGGGUAGAAGGAGCUUUUGUUCAACUUUUCCCUUGGAUGUUGGUUUUACUUGCUGAUAGUUAAUCCCAAUGUAACCUAUUUGUAUUCAUGUAUGUAGGAGCUGAUAGGCCUUCUUAUUUGACUUGUAGAUGCACACGAAGCGUUUUUCUUUUGAUGUACUUUACACACCUAUUUGUUCUGGAGAUGCUCCUUUUGUGCAUUCAUUUCAGACAUUAUUUUAUAACUUCCGUCCAUUGAGAAAUUCUGACUUAGUUGAUUUAUCUAUGCGCUUUGUGUUAAUUAAAGAUAACCUUAUGUGAAGAACUGAAGAUAAGUCAGACAGGGUUACCGUAACUUUUGUCCAUUCACACAAAUGCUGAUGGUCGGGUUGUGUCGAUCUGAUUAGUGUUGGAGGACGAUGUAGUUUCCGAUUGCUCUUGUUUCAUUUUAUUAUUUCUGAAUUGCCCAGUAGAUAGAAGCUCGCUAGAUUAUGGUGAUUAGUCCAACGUUGUUGGAUAUUUCUUCAAUCAACAUCAAUCUGUGUAACCUUUCAAUGGAUGUAGGCCACUGGUACCUGCUGCUUUUCUGAUAAUAGUAAACUCUAGGAGUUCUCAGUUUAUACAUACUUUCAGAGAUUUGUACAGUUCAGACAAGUGAUACUAAAUUGCUAUAAUUUUUUGAUUUGUGAUAGUGACCACCUGUGCAUCGUCUCUGUGGCAGCUGUGUGUCGUGGCAUACAUACUUAAACUCUGAACUCUUUUCAAUGGUGUUGUAAAAACAUUGGCUCAUAGGUUUUGUUAGUAACUAUUAUUCAGAACAUUUUCUUUUAAGUCAAAGUCAUUUGUGAUUCACAUCGAGAGUGUGGAGGGUUUAAGUUCAGAAAUACUAGCUGACUGCCAAUGAAUUAAUGAUUAGACAUUUUUUAAUCCUAUUUACUUGUCCUCUAGGGUAACCAUAGUAGCAUCUUGAGCCCAAGAAUAGUGUUACUGCCAUUUAACGCCGCGAUGUUUUAGCUCCAAGAAUUUGGACCCUCCUGCGAUAAGAAUCAGUUGAAAAGGUUGGUCUAUGCUACUUCUCUAAGGAUGAUUAAAUGUGCUUUGUUGUUAAUUGUAGUGAUAGUGACUAUGAUUGAAUUGGUAAGGUGACAAAUUGACAGUUAUUGCUUGAUGAUCUUACUCUUUUUCGUCACAUUGCAUACUUCUUAGAUGGGAAUCAUCGAAUGUAUACAUAUAUGACAGUUAUAACUUAUAGGGGGGAAAUAACUUAUUCCCUAUAGGCUGAUUAUUAAAAAAUGUUGGACACUGUAUUAACUGUAUUUUAUUCCUGAUUGAGCAAUCUUAUGGUCUCUUGCCCUCGAGCGAGAAACAGUCGCCCAACUCUGUGCCCUCGUUCGCCGCCGCCGCCCUUCGUCCCCUCACCACCACCGCUAGAUCCCUACGCCGCCGCUCGGUGCCGCCAGCCCCCGACCUCCUCCCCGGCUCCCGGCGCUGCCCGCCCCCAUCUGCUCCCCCGAUCCCGGCGUCGCCCGGCCCCCACCUUCUCUCUCACUCUCGGCGGCGGAGGAGAAGGAUGGCGACGACGGGCGAAGACAUCGUUGGCGGUGGCGGCGGCGGCGAAUCUGGUAGAGCCCCUCUCUCUUCCCAAGCCUGCCCCUCUCACCCUCUUCCUCAAGCGGCAAGACCCCAGGGGGAUGGAGGACUGAUGACGCGGGCGUUGGUGCGCUGGCGUGUCGGUCCGGCGGUGAGAGGAGGACGCCCAUCCCAGCCCGAAGCAGCAUAAGGCAACUGAAAAGCGGAGCAGAUCAAGCACCUGGGGUCGCCUGAGGCGGCUCGGUGCACCUCCAAGUGCGUCAGUAGCUGCGUCCUCCGUGGAGCCGGCGCUCCUGGCAUCAUCAGGCCCUUCAACGUCAGAAGUUUAAAAAAAAAGGUCCUCAUUCUAAAGGAGUAACUUCUUGAACCAGCAGUAGAUAUUGUGUCGGGAAGGACGAGGAGCAGGAGCAUUGGUUCAGAUUUUCUCUGUCAGCCUUGUGUUUGUUUACCGAUUAUUGGCUUGACAUGAAGAUUGAUCAGUAUGUUUUCCAAGCUACAUGGCAUGUUGCAACGCUCUUCGGAGUCAAACCCUUGGGAUGGUCCCUCAAACAUGAUGGUCUAGCUAUUACAAAUUAACCAAGAUCAGCAGGACUAAGAAAUACAUAUUUGACACUAUUUGAGAUGGUCCCUCAAACAGCCACGCCGCCACACCUGCCGACCCCUGUGAAGCAUACCCACCCCUGCGCUCGGCCACCGUGGCGGCGGCGGCCCGGCUCCAGCGUGCCGGCGGUCGUGGCGGAGGCCCCGGAGGCGGUCGUCGGGGCGGGCGGCGCGAGGUGGGAGCCGAUGGGCGCGUGGGAGUACUACGACUACCGGCGGGCCAUCUACGGCGACAUCACGCACAAGGCCAUCCUCGUCGACGCCGCCGGCACCAUCCUCGCCCCCACCGAGUCCAUGGCCCAGGUGUACAGAACAGUAGGCGAAAAGUAUGGGGUGAAGUACUCGGAGGAUGAGAUCUUGAUGAGGACCUCGAGGCCUCGGAGAGCCCCUCCGAACAAGACGCGCACAGGAGCUCUGCCUUGACGGGGAAAGCAGCGGAGUUGGUGCAGUGGCGAAUGUGGGCGGGGUCGGCCGUGGAGGGAGACUUGCUGGUCAGAGCAGCAGGAGCAAGAAGGUUGAGGCGGUUCAGGGCAAGACAAGAACAUUUAGUUGGAUCCAGAGUAUUGAGAUUGCAGAGGACUCAACAAAGGAAAUUGAAUGCAUAUAAGGAUCGAGGACCUUUACAUUGGAUGCAUGAUGAUGAUCAUCCACCGAGCAGCACAUCAUCUUGGAAAAGCAGAUGCGAAUUUCUGCUAGGUUUGCUUCUCCGGUUGUCCCUCCCAUCAACUCUCUCAGCUCCCAAACCAUUAACCCCGUCCUGGUUGUUCCUAUAUUUUCUUUUUGUUUUGUUUUUACCAAUGCACUUUUCUUGACAUGUUUUAGUGUGUUCCUUCCUACGGCCAGCUCGACCAUUUGCUCCGCAGGGAGUUUUUAGCUCAGAAGGAGCAAAUAAUUUGAGAAUGCAUUGGUCUUUUCUGCAA